CCGUGCUAAGUGGGGAGUUAGCGGUGCCCUGUACCUGCAAUCCGCUACAGCAGGACUGAACCGCCCCUCUCGACUUCUGAAAUGGAAGGCUGCCCCGUAUAAGGGGUGUUGAUAACAAGGUCUUAUGCAAUCCGCCGCCGCGAACCGUGUCAGGAUAGGGAUAUAGCAGCACUAAACGGUUAAGCGGGUGUGCCAUAGGGUUGCUUUGCAGUAGCUACCUGUAUGGGUUACGCUUCGGUUUCAGUUGGCAAAAGGGGCUGCACGG
rnacentral:SRP_RNA from 1 species